rnacentral:rRNA from 1 species
UACGUAGGGGGCGAGCGUUGUCCGGAUUUAUUGGGCGUAAAGAGCGUGUAGGCGGCCCGGUAAGUCCGCUGUGAAAGUCGGGGGCUCAACCCUCGGAUGCCGGUGGAUACUGUCGGGCUCGAGUACGGAAGAGGCGAGUGGAAUUCCUGGUGUAGCGGUGAAAUGCGCAGAUAUCAGGAGGAACACCUAUUGCGAAGGCAGCUCGCUGGGACGUUACUGACGCUGAGACGCGAAAGCGUGGGGAGCAAACAGG